rnacentral:lncRNA from 1 species
UCCAAUUCUAGUCUAAAUUUUACCCACAAUCCUCUCCUCUUAUAAACACUUUAAUAGGAAGUGCUGAUGAAUUAUGCAGAAUUUUGAUGGCGUAUAGAACUGGUAAUAUAAGAUCAUAAAUGCCAUAAAAACAGCACAAGUAAUGAAGGUUGUGUCUGUUUUAAAAUCCUGUUUCACUGCUUUUACAAAUCUCACAAAUCAUUUCAAAGCUUUUGUUAAAUUUCAGAUUGGCGUUAAUGAUGCCGGUUCUGAUUACGACUCUUUUGGAAGGUGUAUGCUCGUGAUGAACGGCGACGGGCAGAGCGACAGACCGCAGGACGCGGCGAGACGCUGCUCGGGUUCUGCAGGAGAAUCGGGACGAGUUUCACACUGAAACAGUUCUUCUCCUGAACCCACAGCCACAAACCAGAGGCCUUUGUUUCGGAGAGGAAACGGGGGGCUGAGAUCCGCCGAGCUCCAGCUGCUGAAUCAAAAGCGUAACUGUGGAGAAACUGUGGAAGUUAUGAGGAGAAAAACAGCAGAAAGUUUGUGUUAGAGGACGAGUCUUGUGUUGGCGGCGGCUCGGUGUCACUGUGUGCCUCCGCACCGCCGGCACACGGCCCCCUCUGUUCCCCGCUGACCCGUUUUGAAUGGACAGCGUUUUCCUUUGUGUUCACCAUCAAAACACCAGCAAAGUUAGUCAGCAAGUUACACAGCUUUUCUCCCGCCGGAUUCCUCAAGCCUCCACUAAACCAACAAUGUUUAUCACCGCGCCGGAGCUGAGCGGCCUGCUGGAGAACACAAUGAAAGCAGCGGACAAAGCGAUUGUGGCAAAGUCCUUUGGAAAAUGGCAAAGCGGCUCUCGGAGGUCCAGGACCAUGGAGAAGCCGGAUGAGCCUUCGGAAGGCAGGGAAGAGGAGAGCUGUUCCAGCAGCACCUAGGACGGCCUCCCCCUGAGGAUGCUUUUCUCACUGAAACCCUGAGAAACUCUGAGAAAAGAGCGAGCAGAGAGCAGCCGUCCAUCCCACAGUCUUCACCCCCCCGCCAAAAAACAAAGGUAAAAACAGAGUUUUAUUUCCUGCUGCAGAUCAGAAGCGUUUCUGAUGCAUUUCUCUGUAUAAACAGA